GGGGAGCUCGGCUCAGCCAAUCAGAAGGAGCCCAGGAGGCAGGAAGCGGGCUUGGCUGGGCUUGUCUAGCCCCACCUGAGGCAAACUCGAUGGUUCCCCCAGGAGGGCUGAGGGGGAGCUGGGGUUUUCCUUCAGAUCCCCUCAGCAUCAAGCGCUCCCUGGGUCUCAUUCCUCACACUGGCUUCUUUUAUUGAACUCAGUCGGAUGGAGGGGAGAGCAGUGCGAGGCUGAGGAGCAGAGGAGCGAUGGACAGGAGAGCUGUGAGAAGCUGAGGAGCAGAGGAACACGUCCUGCUUUCCUUGUGGGCAAAGCAGUGAGCCCUGCUCUGCUGGCAGGCACCAGGGAAUCGAUGCAAGGAGAGCUGUGGAGACUGCACGAGGACAUUGUCAUUAAUGGAAUUGCUUCUCUUUCCCUAUUUACUUCCUAUCUUUAUCAGAAUAUUUUUUUUAUUGGGAAGCCACUGCAGGCUCACAGCUUGCAAAAUCAGUCUCUCAGUGUGCUUGGUAGACUGCCAAAUAUCUGAAACCACCCUCUGAAAAGGAAGAGUUGAUGGGGCAUCUCAGAAUGAGGUAUUUUAGCAUGUGUCAAAGACCUCAGCCUGUAUUCCCUCCAGGCUGACUGUUGGCCCAGUACUGACUCCUAUGGAAGCCCUCUCUUACAAACAGUGUGGUCAGGAAACGUUUCUGGAUGUUCUUCUUCCCUUCGAGUGCACAAAUCUACAAUUCUGUGAUCUUGUCAUUUUAUUUAAAUCACUGCAGCAAGUGCAUAGCGUGUGUAUUCUGGCAUUACGUGGCCAAAAGCAGUUUCUUUGCCUAAAACCUUGAUGGAAAUCCUCAUUCCUCCAUACAGGAAUUGCAAAUGCUGCGAUACAAAUAGCAGUCAUUAUUGUAGUCUUAUUUCUUUACAGCCUUCUAAGUAUUCCAUUUUCUCGGUACAUCUGUAGCUACUUUAAAUAAAAACAAGUGGCGAUUAAA